rnacentral:rRNA from 1 species
UGCAAGUCGAGCGGACAGAUGGGAGCUUGCUCCCUGAUGUUAGCGGCGGACGGGUGAGUAACACGUGGGUAACCUGCCUGUAAGACUGGGAUAACUCCGGGAAACCGGGGCUAAUACCGGAUGCUUGUUUGAACCGCAUGGUUCAAACAUAAAAGGUGGCUUCGGCUACCACUUACAGAUGGACCCGCGGCGCAUUAGCUAGUUGGUGAGGUAACGGCUCACCAAGGCAACGAUGCGUAGCCGACCUGAGAGGGUGAUCGGCCACACUGGGACUGAGACACGGCCCAGACUCCUACGGGAGGCAGCAGUAGGGAAUCUUCCGCAAUGGACGAAAGUCUGACGGAGCAACGCCGCGUGAGUGAUGAAGGUUUUCGGAUCGUAAAGCUCUGUUGUUAGGGAAGAACAAGUACCGUUCGAAUAGGGCGGUACCUUGACGGUACCUAACCAGAAAGCCACGGCUAACUACGUGCCAGCAGCCGCGGUAAUACGUAGGUGGCAAGCGUUGUCCGGAAUUAUUGGGCGUAAAGGGCUCGCAGGCGGUUUCUUAAGUCUGAUGUGAAAGCCCCCGGCUCAACCGGGGAGGGUCAUUGGAAACUGGGGAACUUGAGUGCAGAAGAGGAGAGUGGAAUUCCACGUGUAGCGGUGAAAUGCGUAGAGAUGUGGAGGAACACCAGUGGCGAAGGCGACUCUCUGGUCUGUAACUGACGCUGAGGAGCGAAAGCGUGGGGAGCGAACAGGAUUAGAUACCCUGGUAGUCCACGCC